rnacentral:rRNA from 1 species
GAUGAACGCUGGCGGCAUGCCUAACACAUGCAAGUCGAUCGGUAAGGCUCUUCGGAGUACACGAGAGGCGGACGGCUGAGUAACGCGUAGGAACACACCCUGCAGUGAGGGAUAAGACACCGAAAGGUGUUCUAAUACCGCAUACGGUCUUCGGAUUAAAGCAUUUAUGCGCUGAAGGAGUGGCCUGCGUCAUAUUAGAUAGUUGGUGAGGUAAUGGCUCACCAAGUCGAUGAUGUGUAGCUGGUCUGAGAGGAUGAUCAGCCAGACUGGAACUGAGACACGGUCCAGACUACUACGGGAGGCAGCAGUGAGGAAUAUUUCACAAUGAGCGAAAGCUUGAUGGAGCAAUGCCGCGUGCAGGAUGAAGGCCCUCGGGUUGUAAACUGCUUUUAUAAGAGAAGAUUAUGACGGUAACUUAUGAAUAAGGGACGGCUAACUACGUG